rnacentral:lncRNA from 1 species
UUUUUACUAUUUUUCAGUCUCAGAGGGAUUGGAGAAUGACUCCAUUUCCUUGGUAUAUUCAUAAAAUGGUUCACCCAGUGAGGACAAUGAAGAUUAUGGACACUGCUGCCCUGCUUUUUCUGAUGUCCUGCACCAGGUAUUUAUGUUUGUGGACACCAGCCACUUGAGUCUCUCCUCAACAUGUAACAUGAAAACAUAU